AUUGAACGCUGGCGGCAGGCCUAAAACAUUCAAGUCGAACGAGUGGCGGACGGGUGAGUAAUGUCUGGGAAACUGCCCGAUGGAGGGGGAUAACUACUGGACACGGUAGCUAAUACCGCAUACCAUCAGAUGUUCCCAGAUGGGAUUAGCUAGUAGGUGGGGUAAUGGCUCACCUAGGCGACGAUCCAUAGCUAGUCUGCGAGGAUGACCAGACACACUGGAACUGAGACACGGUCCAGACUCCUACGGGAGGCAGCAGUGGGGAAUAUUGCACAAUGGGCGAAAGCCUGAUGCAGCCAUGCCGCGUGUGUGAAGAAGGUCUUCGGGUUGUAAAGCACUUUCAGCGAGGAGGCGUUACUCGCAGAAGAAGCACCGGCUAACUCCGUGCCAGCAGCCGCGGUAAUAC
rnacentral:rRNA from 1 species